UAGGGAAUCUUCGGCAAUGGACGAAAGUCUGACCGAGCAACGCCGCGUGAGUGAAGAAGGUUUUCGGAUCGUAAAACUCUGUUGUUAGAGAAGAACAAGGACGUUAGUAACUGAACGUCCCCUGACGGUAUCUAACCAGAAAGCCACGGCUAACUACGUGCCAGCAGCCGCGGUAAUACGUAGGUGGCAAGCGUUGUCCGGAUUUAUUGGGCGUAAAGCGAGCGCAGGCGGUUUCUUAAGUCUGAUGUGAAAGCCCCCGGCUCAACCGGGGAGGGUCAUUGGAAACUGGGAGGCUGGAGUGCAGAAGAGGAGAGUGGAAAUCCAUGUGUAGCGGUGAAAUGCGUAGAUAUAUGGAGGAACACCAGUGGCGGAGGCGGCUCUCUGGAAUGUAACUGACGCUGAGGCUAGAAAGCGUGGGGAGCAAACAGG
rnacentral:rRNA from 1 species